GCCUUCCUACGGGAGGCAGCAGUAGGGAAUAUUGCUCAAUGGGGGAAACCCUGAAGCAGCAACGCCGCGUGGAGGAUGAAGGUGUUCGGAUUGUAAAGUCCUUUUGUUAGAGAAGAUAAUGACGGUAUCUAACGAAUAAGCACCGGCUAACUCCGUGCCAGCAGCCGCGGUAAUACGGAGGGUGCAAGCGUUACUCGGAAUCACUGGGCGUAAAGAGCGCGUAGGCGGGAUAGCAAGUCAGAUGUGAAAUUCUAU
rnacentral:rRNA from 1 species